rnacentral:lncRNA from 1 species
UUGGUAUUAGAGUGGCGAUCCUUAGCAUUCUCGCUGCACCAUAGCUAUAAAAAAAAAGUAAAAAAAAGAAAAAGAAAAGAGGGUUUAACCGGUGGCCACCGAGAAGGGUCCCUUGCUUCCCUUCUCCCCCACUACCACCCCUGCUCUCUAGUAGGCCGCACCAUGCAGCAACCCUUGCUGCCUCCUUCCCACCACAAGCGCUGCUUCCCGAC